GGUUGAUGCAGUCAUGAGCUAGGCUCUUGUUCCAAGCCUAGCCUAGCACCUGCUGGUUUCCCAAUCUCCUUCCUGGAUGGCCCUGCUUGGGACCCAGCCCCACCAGUCUGACCUGCUUGCCAUCCCCUUCAGGCUGGCAACCCGGAGCCCUCCAUCUCGGAGCACCUGGGCCAGCGGGUCCCCCGGAUGGUGCUGAGGGCAUGCAUCCCAGGCAGAGGGACUGCUCCGAACCGUCUGGGAUGCUUCUCAGCCUCGAGUUCCGGCUCGGACAAAGGAUGUACUCAACCAUAACGCCCAUGGGACCAAAGGCAAGGCGGCAGGUGGAAGCAGAGCUGCAAAGAUAGCAGUCGUUGGAGGAGCACGGAAAGACCUCACAUAAAAGCGAUGGAGCUGGCUGACAAGUCUGAGGACUGCUGACGCUUUUGAACGAAGAAACAGCAAUUUCAGAAAAUGAACCCUGUGGUUUAGAAAGAAAUCAUCUGAACUUAAAUAAAGAAAGAAAAGAAGAGAAAAAAAUUGUUCUCAUCACAAAGAAAACAAUUUCCUUAGGCCUAGAGAAUUAUAGUCUAUUUUUGAAGGCUUCAACCCUCUGAGAUAUCUAGAUUUUGAG